GUCCACGGCCAUGCCACCCUGACCAAACUUGAUCUCAUCUGAUCUCAGAAGCUAAGGAGGGUUGGGCCUGGUUAGUUCUUGGAUGGGAGACCACCUAGGAAGACCAGGUGUAUAGGUA
rnacentral:rRNA from 1 species